UACGGAGGGUGCAAGCGUUAAUCGGAAUUACUGGGCGUAAAGCGUACGUAGGCGGCUUUGUAAGUCGGUUGUGAAAUCCCCGGGCUCAACCUGGGAAUUGCAGUCGAUACUGCAUGGCUGGAGUAUGGUAGAGGGUAGUGGAAUUCCGGGUGUAGCGGUGAAAUGCGUAGAUAUCCGGAGGAACACCAGUGGCGAAGGCGGCUACCUGGACCAAUACUGACGCUGAGGUACGAAAGCGUGGGGAGCAAACGGG
rnacentral:rRNA from 1 species